GAUGAAGAACGCAGCGAAAUGCGAUACGUAAUGUGAAUUGCAGAAUUCAGUGAAUCAUCGAAUCUUUGAACGCAUAUUGCGCUCUCUGGUAUUCCGGAGAGCAUGCUUGUUUGAGUAUCAGUAAACACCUCAACUCCCUUUUCUUUUUUGAAAUUGGAGCUGGACUUGAGUGAUCCCAACGCUUUCUUCCAAGAAAGUGGCGGGUUGCUUGAAAUGCAGGUGCAGCUGAACUUUUCUCUGAGCUAUAAGCAUAUCUAUUUAGUCUGCCUAAAAAACAGAUUAUUACCUUUGCUGCAGCUAACAUAAAGGAGACUAGUUCUUGUGCUGACUGAUGCAGGAUUCACAGAGACAGCUUCGGCUGACUUUGUAAACUCGAUCUCAAAUCAAGUAAGACUACCCGCUGAACUUAAGCAUAUCAUUAAGCGGAGGA
rnacentral:misc_RNA from 1 species